AUGCCAAAGAGUAAGGUCAGCUCUGCCGAAGGUGCAGGGAAGGAAGAGCCCAAGAGGAGGUCGGUGCGGUUGUCAGCUAAACCUGCUCCUGCGAAAGUGGAAACAAAGCCAAAAAAGGCAGCAGCAAGGGAUAAAUCUUCAGAGUAAAAAGUGCAACCAAAAGGGAAAAGAGGAACAAAGGGAAAGCAGGCCGAAGUGGCCAACCAAGAAACUAAAGAAGAUUUACCAGCAGAAAAUGGAGAAACUAAAACCGAGGAGAAUCCAGCCACUGACGAAGCAGGAGAGAAAGAAGCCAAGUCUGAUUAGUGUCAUAUACCAUGUCUUAUCAGUGGUCCCUGUCUCCCUUCUUGUACAAUCCAGAGGAAUAUUUUUAUCAACUAUUUUGUAAAUGCAAGUUUUUUAGUAGCUCUAGAAACAUUUUUAAGAAGGAGGGAAUCCCACCUCAUCUCUCAUUUUUUAAGUGUAAAUGCUUUUUUUUAAGAGGUGAAAUCAUUUGCUGGUUGUUUAUUUUUUGGUACAACCAGAAAAUAGUGUGGGAUGUUGAUUUAAUGGGAGGCUUUGACUGUCUUGGGUGUGAGCUUAGCAUUCCAUAGAUGGGGGUUAGUUUUUAUAUCCUGUAAUACAAAGCAUACUAAAUGGCAAUAUGGAGUCCAGUCCUGCAUUUAAUGUUUGAACAUUUUAAAUUACUUCUAUUCCCGUGUUGUUUUAUAGUAGAAUUUUUUCCUAAAGAAAACACUCCUGUGAUCAUGGCUCUUAAUGUCAGAACUGUGUACCCUCUGUAACAUCUUUGGUUGUGGUGCUCCUGUUUUCCUAAUAACUUUGUUACCGUGCUGUGAAGGACUGAAAAUCUAAGCAUGUAGCAUAUAUGGUAAUAAAGUGUGACUUGGUGGGACUUACCUAACAGCUUAUCAACAUUUGAAGAUAAGGUAGCUGGUAUCCUCUUAAGGAAAAUUUGCCUCCAAAUUUUAAUCUGGAAAGUCACUGGAAUAACUUUAAAAAAGAAUUAAAAUGGCUUUUUAGAUUUUGGGUACGUAUGUUAAGAAUUGUGUACAAAUUGAAGUGUCUGUACUGAUGCUCAACACAACCAAUAAAAUCU